rnacentral:rRNA from 1 species
UACAGGGGGGGCAAGCGUUGUUCGGAAUUACUGGGCGUAAAGGGCUCGUAGGCGGCCAACUAAGUCAGACGUGAAAUCCCUCAGCUUAACUGGGGAACUGCGUCCGAUACUGGAUGGCUUGAGUUUGGGAGAGGGAUGCGGAAUUCCAGGUGUAGCGGUGAAAUGCGUAGAUAUCUGGAGGAACACCGGUGGCGAAGGCGGCAUCCUGGACCAACACUGACACUGAGGAGCGAAAGCCAGGGGAGCAAACGGG